rnacentral:rRNA from 1 species
UACGUAGGGUGCGAGCGUUGCCCGGAUUUAUUGGGCGUAAAGGGCGCGCAGGCGGCUACGCACGUCCGUUGUGAAAUCGCUCGGCUCAACUGGGCGGGGUCAGCGGAUACGGCGUAGCUGGAGCAAGCUAGGGGGCAAUGGAAUUCCCGGUGUAGUGGUGGAAUGCGUAGAUAUCGGGAGGAAUACCUAUGGCGAAAGCAGGCUACUGGACCGUCACUGACUCUGAUCUGCGAAAGCUAGGGGAGCAAACAGG